GCGCCCGUAGCUCAACUGGAUAGAGCAUCUGACUACGGAUCAGAAGGUUGGGAGUUCGAAUCUCUCCGGGCGCGCCA
rnacentral:tRNA from 1 species